ACUCACACAGCUGCCACCAUGACACAUGCUCUUGCUUCUGGUACGUGUGCCACACGCAGGGUGUGGAGGGGGACCACUGUGUGACCUCGGACCCGGCCACCUCACCCCUGGUCCUGACCAUCCCGCGCUGCCUACGUGUGGAGCUGGAGUGCGAAGAGGGUGAGCUGUCCUUCUAUGAUGCUGAACAUAACUGCCACCUAUAUACCUUCCAUGCACGCUUCUGGGAGGUGCGGCCCUACUUUUACCUUGGGGGUGUACAGGGUGAUGGGCCUCCUGAGCCCUUGAGCAUCUGCCCCUUGCGCAUCACUAUAAAGGAAGAACUGGACGUCUGAACUGGCCCAGGCCUGCUGGAUGCUGUGCCGUGGGCCUGCUUUAUUCCUACCUCUUCCUGAAGCCCAUCCCCGGCAAUGGCACCUCUGCCCACUACCUUAUGAGGUGCCAGCAUUCUCUGCCAUUCUGUCUUGCCUUUUUCUGUGACUCUAGGCCCUAUGCCUUUUCUUUAUUUUUGGUCCCUUCUCUGUUCAGUUAAAAGCCAUCCAGGAAGUAUCUCACUGGGUCCAGGCUCUACCCAGAGUGUGAAUUUUUAAGUCCUCAUUUGAGAAUUUCUGGAGAAAAUGUUUAUUUUUAGAACAGGCCUGUUUUAAAAUGUAGGUUUUAUUAUUUUCCAGGUAUGGUUAAACCAAUUAAUUAGGAGAUGACUGCUACUGGAAAGAGUCUGUCACUCAUUUCCCAGCCAUGCCACAUGGAGCCACACAGGGAAGCACUAGGGUCAGUCAAGAUACAAAGGGGAAGAGGGGAAGGUGCUGGCAAAGCCUUUGUUGUGGUUUUCCUGGGAAGGAAUGGGUGGGGCAGCGUAGACCAGGUGGACGCUCGCCAGUCUUGAGUAGUUGCAGUGGGUUCUGGCAUGUGAGGACUGCUCCUCGUUUCUUGCACCUGCCUUAGGAUGAUUAGGACAGGAGAUGUUGACUUGGCAGAGAGCCUGCUAUAGGAAUUGGUGUGAUUCCAUGGUCUAGGUUGGCUGGACUCACGAGAAAGGCAGCCUUCAGGCCUAUUGGCUGCCUAGGCAUUGACUAGCUUAAGAGCUGCAGUCACUCCAGUGCCAGAACAUCAGGAAUUCAGCAAAGAAGCAAACAGUUAGUGCAGGGCUCAGCUUAGCUACUACUUUAUCUUACUAAUUUAAAACUUGCACAGAUCUUCCUGGGGGUCCUGUAAAGUAGGAUGCAAAGCUGCCCAUCUGUAUCCAUCAACUCCAGUUUAUCUGGUUGUGCAUCAAGAGCUAAUCUCCUGAACUAAGAGCUCCAGAGCACUUAACAAAAUUAAAAUCAUGCUGUGCACCUGUUCCCUCGCUGGGACUCACUUUCCUCAUCUGUACAAUAGACAGUGGGAAUAGAAGACCAUGUCCUUCUAUAAUUCUGUGGGGUUUUAAGAAAGAAGAGAACUUUGUGCCCUGGCCUGUCCCACCUACUCCUUUCAAUAGUAACCAGAGGGUGGGAAGACAGCUGCUGUGGGGAGGUAAGCAGCUCUGCUCCACCCUGCACCAUGAUGAUCCACUUCACCAUAUGCCCAGAGACAAUGAGGCCAGCCAACCAUGGAUGGAACCUUUUGAAACCAUGAGCCAAAGUAAACCUUUCAUUCUUUUAAGUUAUCUCAGGUAUUUUGUCACUGCAAUGAAAAGCUGACAAACACAUCUGGUAAGUGUGUGUUAAAUCUUUUAAGAAACUACCAAACUGUUUUCUGGAGUACCAUUUUCCAUUCCUUCCAGCAACAUCUCACUAAUCAAGUUUCUCUGCAUGCUCAAUAGCAUUUGGUGUUGCAACUAC